AACGAACGCUGGCGGCAUGCCUAACACAUGCAAGUCGAACGAGACCUUCGGGUCUAGUGGCGCACGGGUGCGUAACGCGUGGGAACCUGCCCUUAGGUUCGGAAUAACUCCCCGAAAGGGGUGCUAAUACCGGAUAAUGUCUUCGGACCAAAGAUUUAUCGCCUUUGGAUGGGCCCGCGUUGGAUUAGCUAGUUGGUAGGGUAAAAGCCUACCAAGGCGACGAUCCAUAGCUGGUCUGAGAGGAUGAUCAGCCACACUGGGACUGAGACACGGCCCAGACUCCUACGGGAGGCAGCAGUGGGGAAUAAUGGACAAGGGGCGAAAGCCUGAUCCAUCAAUGCCGCGUGAGUGAUGAAGGCCUUAGGGUGGUAAAGCUCUUUUACCCGGGAUGAUAAUGACAGUACCGGGAGAAUAAGCUCCGGCUAACUCCGU
rnacentral:rRNA from 1 species